rnacentral:rRNA from 1 species
CAUGGCCUACGGGGGGCAGCAGUGAGGAAUAUUGGUCAAUGGGCUUACGCCUGAACCAGCCAAGUCGCGUGAGGGAAGACUGCCCUAUGGGUUGUAAACCUCUUUUGUCGGGGAGCAAAGCGAGUCACGUGUGACUCAUUGAGAGUACCCGAAGAAAAAGCAUCGGCUAACUCCGUGCCAGCAGCCGCGGUAAUACGUAGGGAGCGAGCGUUGUCCGGAUUUACUGGGUGUAAAGGGUGCGUAGGCGGGUAAGCAAGUCAGAAGUGAAAUCCAUGGGCUUAACCCAUGAACUGCUUUUGUAACUG